UACUAUAAUCAUACCAAAAUGUAGAUCUAAACAAGCUAAACAACUUUACUUAAACAAUCAAAUGCCAAAACAAAAUAGAUUAAGAGUAAUUAAAGUUUCAAGAUUCAUAAAUACAAAGAAAAACUGAAAGAUAAACAUAGAUCUUUUGGACAAACCCCAAAUGAUCUAUUUAUACUAAAAUGUUGGAAACCCUAGAUUCCCUAGAAGACAAGAGACUUGAGGCGGUUUGGGCGAAUACUCGAUCUUGGGGAUCGAGUAAAGAGGGUGCUGCAAAGUUUGCGCCUUUGUGUAUAUGCUCUGAGUGAUCAAUUGGUCGAGUAGAUGGUUUAUCCUCUCCUAUCCGUAUGCUCAGAUGUCUGGUUGAGUGGGGAAUGAGGAGGAUUCGAAGACGCUUUGAUAGCUCAACAAGUCUUGUAGAGAUGGUCACCCUUGGUUGAGUAAAUGGAUCGAGUAGUGGAUCGAGUAGGAGGGGCGAGUAGAUUAGUCUGCUGCUUUCUUCUGAGGUUGCCUUGAUCGAGUAAGAGGGUCAAGUAAACUGGAGCCUCCUUUGUAGCAUCCUGGAUCGAGUAAAGAGGUCGAGUAGAAUGAUGCCUCUUCUGUAGCUGCCCGGAUUGAGUGAAUGAAUUGAGUAGAGUCCUUUUAAGCUCUUUUUGCACCUGAAAACAUACCAAAACAUGCAAUGCGAAUGCAAGAUGAUCCUAGAUGCCUAAGUAUGCAAAACAAGCUAAAAUGGUGCAAAAUGAUAUGAUACAAUGAGCAAAUGCAAAGCUAAAUCAUGAUAAACAUACACCUAAAAUGAGUAAAAUACAGUGUUAUCAACUCCCCCAAACUUAUCUCUUGCUUGCCCUCAAGCAAACAAAAACACUUAAGUUGAAGGAGAGGUUUGAAGGUGGGGAUUCAAAAACCGAAGAAAUGCAUAUAGAAUAGGUAAGCUCAAUGUCCAGGUAGCUAAUUCUAAGUUGCAAGAUGAUAGACCCUUACUUAAAAACGUUAGCCAUACUCGUCACAAUGCAACCUAACAACUUGCCUUAAUCUAUUCAAGCAUUCACAUCAACCAAUUCCCUUUAACAUUCAUUAAGCACGAAUAGUGAAUCAAGCAAUGCAAUGGGUAUGAACUCACUUGAUUUCGGGCUUAAGCUAAGAGAUAAAAAUGGUCCCUCUAACGGUUUGGUCGAGUAACAGGGGACUCUCAGAGAAAAGAUUGAGUUUCAGUAGAAUGCUAAAGGUAAAAGCCAACGGACACGUACAAGAACAGACUCCCAUCUACCCAAUGAUAUAGUAUGAUAGCUCAGAAGAUGAUCCCAGUCCCAUAGAUGUCCUAACUCUACCCUUUUUGUCAUUCUUUCUCUCUAUUUGGUUCAAGUUCUAAGGGGUUCUCUUUGAAACGAUUUAAGAGUCUAGCGGGUUUGGUUUUAUACUUUGAUAAACUUAAGGCUUUUCUUCUAAUCUUAGCACAUAGGGCGUUUUACCCUUUUCUUUGAAUCACAAAGCCUAACUUCUUUACAUUCCAAACCCUUUACUAGACUUAACACUUUUGUAUCCCCCUUAGAACUCUAAACUCUUACUCUUUU
rnacentral:sRNA from 1 species